AGCAGCCGCGGUAAUUCCAGCUCCAAUAGCGUAUAUUAAAGUUGCUGCAGUUAAAAAGCUCGUAGUUGAAUUUCGGGACCAAUAUGUCGGUCGUGCCUCGGUACGUACUGGCAUCGUUGGUUUCUCCCUUCUGACGAACCAUGGUGUCAUUUAUUUGGUGUCGUGGGGAAUCAGGACUGUUACUUUGAAAAAAUUAGAGUGUUUAAAGCAGGCUCACGCUUGAAUACAUUAGCAUGGAAUAAUGAAAUAGGACGUUUGAUUCUAUUUUGUUGGUUUCUAGGAUCGACGUAAUGAUUAAUAGGGAUAGUUGGGGGCAUUAGUAUUCAAUUGUCAGAGGUGAAAUUCUUGGAUUUAUUGAAGACUAACUACUGCGAAAGCAUUUGCCAAGGAUGUUUUCAUUAAUCAAGAACGAAAGUUAGGGGAUCGAAGACGAUCAGAUACCGUCGUAGUCUUAACCAUAAACUAUGCCGACUAGGGAUCGGAUGAUGUUAAUUUUUUAAUGUACUCA
rnacentral:rRNA from 1 species